CUACGGGUCGCACCAGUGAGGAAUAUUGCACAAUGGGGGGAACCCUGAUGCAGCAACGCCGCGUGGAGGAUGACGCAUUUCGGUGUGUAAACUCCUUUUAUAUGUCAAGAAAAUGACGGUAGCAUAUGAAUAAGCACCGGCUAACUCCGUGCCAGCAGCCGCGGUAAUACGGAGGGUGCAAGCGUUACUCGGAAUCACUGGGCGUAAAGGACGCGUAGGCGGGUUGGAAAGUCAGGUGUGAAAUCCUACAGCUUAACUGUAGAACUGCACUUGAAACUUCUAAUCUAGAGUAUGGGAGGGGGCGAUGGAAUUAGUGGUGUAGGGGUAAAAUCCGUAGAUAUCACUAGGAAUACCUAAAGCGAAGGCGAUCUCCUGGAACAUUACUGACGCUAAGGCGUGAAAGCGUGGGGAGCAAACAGGAUUAGAUACCCGCGAGUC
rnacentral:rRNA from 1 species